UACGUAGGGUGCAAGCGUUAAUCGGAAUUACUGGGCGUAAAGCGUGCGCAGGCGGUUUUGUAAGUCUGAUGUGAAAUCCCCGGGCUCAACCUGGGAAUUGCAUUGGAGGCUGCAAGGCUAGAAUCUGGCAGAGGGGGGUAGAAUUCCACGUGUAGCAGUGAAAUGCGUAGAGAUGUGGAGGAACACCGAUGGCGAAGGCAGCCCCCUGGGUCAAGAUUGACGCUCAUGCACGAAAGCGUGGGGAACAAACAGG
rnacentral:rRNA from 1 species